AUUGAACGCUGGCGGCAUGCUUUACACAUGCAAGUCGAACGGCAGCACAAACUUCGGUUUGGUGGCGAGUGGCGAACGGGUGAGUAAUGCAUCGGAACGUGUCCUGAAGUGGGGGAUAACGCAUCGAAAGAUGCGCUAAUACCGCAUAAUCUCUGAGGAGAAAAGUGGGGGAUCGAAAGACCUCAUGCUUUUGGAGCGGCCGAUGUCUGAUUAGCUAGUUGGUAGGGUAAUGGCCUACCAAGGCGACGAUCAGUAGUUGGUCUGAGAGGAUGGCCAGCCACACUGGGACUGAGACACGGCCCAGACUCCUACGGGAGGCAGCAGUGGGGAAUUUUGGACAAUGGGCGCAAGCCUGAUCCAGCAAUGCCGCGUGAGUGAAGAAGGCCUCGGUUGUAAGACUCUUUCUAGUUGAGAAGAAAAAAUUAGUAGACUAAUACUUAGCAAUUCAUGACAGUAUCAACAGAAGAAGACACCGG
rnacentral:rRNA from 1 species